UAGACAGAGCUUGAAUAAGCAGCUCUUUUACACAGAGAAGAUAUUUGAUAAAACCGAAUUGUCUCGAA
rnacentral:tRNA from 1 species